ensembl:lncRNA
GCUCCUCCCCGGAGCAUCUCAGCGGGGAAGGGCAGCCGCCUUACGGACAAGGCCCGUGUUAUGGAUGGUGCUUCCAGCCUCGAGCAGGUUCAUCCUUCAGCAGUCCAGGCUCUGCCCUGCACCGAAGGACUGCUCCACGGGGCACGUGAGCUCAGCCACGUCCUUUAGCUAACAGGCGUCAGAGGACCGAGACAUCAUCAGCGGUGGGAGGGAUAACGUGACAGCUAACACCCCAAUUCCCAACUUGUGUUCAUUUUCUCUUGGCGUCGUUAGUCUAAAGAGAGGUCGGCACACCCACAGAGCCUUCAUCGUUCAAGAAUUCGAGCCUUUUGAUUUAAUCUAAUUUUUCUCAGAUUUUACCCAUUAAGAACGUGUUCUCAGUUUUCAUGUCAAUCUGCCUUUUCUCCUCAAGCUGUCUUUCAAAAAUAUCUUCGUGGGACAAACAGUGUGAUGAGAAGGGGAGUUAAUUUGCCCUUGUUAAAAACCAAGAUAUGAAAGAUGCCACCCAAGAGUGGUUGGUGACCACCGGGCAGCCUAGCAGGUCAUCUCGUCUUGGCAACCGUAAAGUGUGGUGAUUUCUCCAAGGUUUGGUCCUGUGCUUACUCUCCUUGGGACUCUCUGAGGCAGCUCUGUCUUCAGCGACCGCCCGUGUACCGAUAACUCUCCGAUGAGCCUCCAGGCAGACUUCUCCCUCCGUACCUGCUGUGGGAUGCUCUCCCAGGUGCUGAGGGUUAGCUGCACCCUUUUCUGGGCACUUCCUUAGUAACCCUGUGCUUUCCUGUAUCUGCCAGUUAGAACCUGUGUGAUAUUCAGCUGUGUGUCUUCAGUGUUUGGCAAGGUGUUUGGCACGUGGUCAGGGCUUGCGGUUUGUUCAGCUGUGGACUGGAAUUCGGGGCAGGGCUUGGGGGCAGAAGGCAUGGCAUCACUGCACAUACUGGGGCGCGGCUGGGUGAGUCUGCUUUGGCAGAUGAGCCAAGAUAGUUGACUAUGAGAACAACUUUUCAGAUGAUAAUGCCUUCAUGAUUGUAAUUAUGUAAGCUUAUGUAAGAAGACAGAAAGUAUACAUGGGAUUUAACAUGGAUGAUUUCUAUUUUGUCUGUUACUUUUGUAUUAUCAGAGUUGUCUACAAUGCAUAUAAAC